UAUGGGAUGUGCCCCAGCUUGUGACAUGC
rnacentral:sRNA from 1 species